rnacentral:rRNA from 2 species
GUGGACGCCAGUCUGCAUGGAGCCGGCCUUGAAAUACCACCCUUUAAUGUUUGAUGUUCUAACGUGGACCCGUGAUCCGGGUUGCGGACAGUGUCUGGUGGGUAGUUUGACUGGGGCGGUCUCCUCCUAAAGAGUAACGGAGGAGCACGAAGGUUGGCUAAUCCUGGUCGGACAUCAGGAGGUUAGUGCAAUGGCAUAAGCCAGCUUGACUGCGAGCGUGACGGCGCGAGCAGGUGCGAAAGCAGGUCAUAGUGAUCCGGUGGUUCUGAAUGGAAGGGCCAUCGCUCAACGGAUAAAAGGUACUCCGGGGAUAACAGGCUGAUACCGCCCAAGAGUUCAUAUCGACGGCGGUGUUUGGCACCUCGAUGUCGGCUCAUCACAUCCUGGGGCUGAAGUAGGUCCCAAGGGUAUGGCUGUUCGCCAUUUAAAGUGGUACGCGAGCUGGGUUUAGAACGUCGUGAGACAGUUC